GAAGGMYGCWAGCGUUAUCCGGAUUCAUUGGGUUUAAAGGGAGCGUAGGCGGACUUGUAAGUCAGUGGUGAAAUCUGUGGGCUUAACCCACAAACUGCCAUUGAUACUGCAGGUCUAGAGUACAGUUGCCGUUGGCGGAAUAUGACAUGUAGUGGUGAAAUACUUAGAUAUGUCAUAGAACACCGAUUGCGAAGGCAGCUAACGAAGCUGUAACUGACGCUGAGGCUCGAAAGUGCGGGGAUCAAACAGGAUUAGAUACCCUGGUAGUCCGCACUGUAAACGAUGAUUACUCGUUGCUGGGAAGCAAUUUCCAGUGACCAAGCGAAAGCGAUAAGUAAUCCACCUGGGGAGUACGCCGGCAACGGUG
rnacentral:rRNA from 1 species